GACGAACGCUGGCGGCGUGCUUAACACAUGCAAGUCGAGCGAGGCCCCUCCUUCGGGAGGGUGUCCUAGCGGCGAACGGGUGAGUAACACGUGGGCAACCUGCCCUCAGCUCUGGGAUAACUCCGGGAAACCGGGGCUAAUACCGGAUACGACCUCCACGGGCAUCUGCGGAGGUGGAAAGUUUUUCGGCUGAGGAUGGGCCCGCGGCCUAUCAGCUAGUUGGUGGGGUAGUGCCCACCAAGGCGACGACGGGUAGCCGGCCUGAGAGGGCGACCGGCCACACUGGGACUGAGACACGGCCCAGACUCCUACGGGAGGCAGCAGUGGGGAAUAUUGCGCAAUGGGCGAAAGCCUGACGCAGCGACGCCGCGUGAGGGACGAAGGCCUUCGGGUUGUAAACCUCUUUCAGCAGGGACGAAGCGAAAGUGACGGUACCUGCAGAAGAAGCACCGGCCAACUACGUG
rnacentral:rRNA from 1 species